rnacentral:misc_RNA from 1 species
UGAAUUAUUGAUAUUGGAAUCUCUUUUGGCUUAAACUUCCUUUCAGUUUCCAGGGGUGUUAACAGUCCUUUCGAUUUUGAUCCUCUCAUGACUAUGUUCAGCCUUAACCUACCAUUAUUUGAUGUCAUUGGGACAUUUAAAAGUUUGUGAAGUACCCUUGUCGGACUAAUGUGAAUGGUUAUUAUGAUAUGAGAUGUGUUUCUAGUGCCUUUACUGUUGCACGUGCCAAGUGGAUGGUUGUUAUUGAAAGAAUACUGGAAGAAACUUUAUACCACUGUCUUACUCAAAAUAUUAACAAAAGACUCUACUUAUAGUAGUAUCAUACUUGUGUUUGUUGCACAAAAUUAGCACCACUAACUAAUGGACAAAAAGAACUCUAAAAUUUCUCAACAAAUUACACACAUAAUCGCAUGAUUAUGGAACUAACUCUAUAAAUUUGAAAUCAUUAAGAAACAAAUAAAUACUUGGUCUGCCCAUAGUUGAAUUAACUCCAAAAGAGGCCAGUUAUCGGUAAUAAUAAGAUAUUUGAAAGUUGGAGUUGGUUAAUAGUACUGACCCUUCCCUUCAAAUAAAGUAAUAACAUGAGAUAUAGGCAAAUGCUGCCAUCAAUAACUAGAUCAUCAUCAAAAACAGCAACUAAUGAAGAAAUCUGUGACAUCGCAUUUCUCAGAGAAGGCCUUGUAUGAUCAAUAACAGAAGUAGCAUAAUCUACAUAACUCUGACUCCAUGAUUUUGAUAUUAAAUUGUCAAAAGAAACCCCUCCUUGAAACUUAAGUAGUCUGAACUUCCUUCUUUCCCUCAUAAUAUUGAUAGCUUUGCAAAUUUUUGAAACAAAAUGUUGUUAUUCCAUGUGUAAAAGCAUCAAAAUAAAAAAAUAAAAAAAGGAAGAUAGCGGAUUCAACAUGAAACAGAAAAUGACUCGAGUGACAUGAUAAAAUAAGCAAAUAUAGACCUGUCAACAUAAAUGAUAUUGGAAAAGUGGCACAGCCACAUAGCAAAUUCAUUCCAAAGAUGAAAAAGUUUUGGUUGAUGCCCACCAAUGUUGUUUCUAUGGAAUAUUUUGCAGCGAAAGGACGAAGCAAGUUAUUGAUGGCAUAGAAAAUACUAUGGGUAAACUAAUAUAGAUGUCAUUGAAUAUGUGGAUCAGCAACAAAACAAAACAAUAAUGAUACUGUUUUAUCUUCUUAAUUUACUGAUGAGAGAAUGAACAAAUGACUAGGCAGAUUUUUGCUCUCUCUUUCUGGAUAGCCCGUCUGCACAUGAGAUUGUACCCUGUAAACCACUCUCUUGGCCAGUUCAAUUGAUGCAAGCAAAUACUCAAAAAAAUGAUGUGAAAAAACAUAGUAUGUUUUCAAAUUUUAACAAGUCCAUGCCCAGGUGUCAUAGCACAAAAUUUAAUCACACAGGACCAUUGGAUUACUAAGCAAUCAUACAAGUGACAACUAAUGCAAAAUCACACUCUAAAUAAGUUUAACACUCAUGCAAACUUUUAAAGCUUACAAACAUAAACGCUAACCUGAAGAUGGACUUGCAAAAGGCUUUCUAUGUGUUCAGCAUAAAAUGCCCCAAUAACAUAGUGGAAAACAUCAGAUUUCCAGCACAGGCACAAGAAAUUUGGCACACCUAUGUAGUUCUUUAGCAACUGGCACAUCAAAGACUUGACAACAGCUUCCCUGCCUUCUCAACAAUGAUUCAUGAACAGACGAGCAUCUAUCUGCUUUUCCAUGUUUCAAAUUAAUGAAAAGCCUUCAUUUCCAUGAACUGAAAUCAACAGACUGAAGUGAUACACGACCAACAUAAAAAUCCUUUAAAUGCUGGUUACACAACCCAAUUCGCCUUCCAUUCAAACUGGGAUGCAUACAAGCUGAAAAGCCUGUCUUCCAGACAGGAAACUUCUGUCUUUCCAUCACAUGAAGUGUAUAAACACUUGGUGCAGCUGCUGAGCACCCCAUAACAAAACAAUUGCAAGGCCGUGACGGACUUACCAUUCUCGCUAGCGAUAGUAAACACAUGCCACUGUAAGAAAUUCCAUACAUUAAUGCUUCAUCAUUUUCAAAAGCUAGAAAGUUUGAUGCCUCAUUUUCCACCUCUUGCUCUAUAUCUCGGAUAGAAAAGAUACUUCUCAGCUCUAAAUCAAACCGUAUCUCCACUUCAGUUUCAUGAAUUCUAUACUUUGCAGCUAAAGUACGAAUGCAAGAUUUCCAAACUUGAUUCUUAAUUAUGAGCUCUAUAUCAGCAAAAUUCUCAAAAUCACCAUACCACCUAUUCCAACGGUAAACGAUACCUGAAAACCAGUCGAUAAUCUGAUCCUUAUCUUGUAAAAUAAGUUUAGGAUUCACACAGGAGUGUCCUUCAGAUGUGAUCAAUCCAUAUCGUAAUAAACGCUUCUUAAUGACAUUAACAGGAGCAAUAAUCUCAGUGAUGAUUUCAGAGGAUGAGCUGGAAUUUGGCAAAAGAGCAAGAGUCAUAGCUGUCUCAGAAUUAAUGUAUUCUUUUGCACACUUUUGAAAUUCAUGAAAGGAAUCUCUCAGUUCUUGUGGAAGGGCUGGUUCUGCAACAUACUUAGAUAAGAUAAAUUCUUCACACUCUACUGUUUUUGUUUUAAUGUCAUUUAUCCAUAUUUUAAGUAAGUGCUUAUACCAAUGAUCAGUUUCCAUUCCAGCUUUGCGAAAGCAGGAAAUUUGACUCAAUAGAGAGCUGCUAUCAGCUAAAUGCUUGAUUUCUGACUCUUUGACCUUCCUCAAACCAUGAGCCAACCAUUUCUUCCCAAUUCUGAUCGUCCCAGCAUCCCAAGCCUCUUGUUUUUGUAGAGAAAACAUCUUGACUUUGUCUUUCAACUUGUGAACAGCCCUUACAGCAGCACUCUCUUUCACACGUCGUCUAACCAAAGUGCCUAGAAAGCGAAUUGUUUGAGGUCCUGCACAAGAUAUUAUUUCUGUUUCAAUAGAAACAUCUAACUGCAAAGAAUUCUGCAAGUAACCCACAACAUCAGACUUGAAACCAAGAGCAACAUCUUUCGAUCCAGAAACUGCAAAAAAUAACUCAUCCAUGAAGCGACAACAAUGAAUUCUUGGACCAGAAUUUUUCCCAGCCAUUGUUUUAAGAUCAUCGCCUUUAAGCUGUCUCCUAAACCAGCUGCGUAGCUUGGAAUUGAAUUGCUCUCCUUCAAGAUGAUAACCCGAAUUGAGAGCUUCAUAGUUCAUUGAAAGCCUAUAAAAUUCAUGGUCAAAGUCAUUAAGGUAUAUGUUCAUUAGUAUCGGAGACAACACUCCCUCUUGUGGAAGACCAUGGCCCUUUGGGUAACCCCCAAACUCCAAGUUGAGCACCUGGGCAGCAUACAUGCCUCGAAUCAUAUCAUAAAAGCGAGGGUCUUCAAUCUUAUCCUCCAUUAUGGAGAUAAGUUUAUCGAGGACAUACGUGUCCAGCUUUUUACUUACAAUUAAUGUAAACCACCAAUCAGGAUUAGAGAUGUCUUUGCUGAUGUAUUUCAAUGCUGAAUGGUGCCCCCUUCCACUUCGACAACCAUGGGAUGUUUUAGAAAAGUGGGGCCUGUAAACAACUUCCAAAACUAUUCUCAUGGCUUCUUGAACAACCUUCAACUUCAGUUUAGGAAGGACAAGGAUUUCCUUUCUUACACCUCUUGUUGAAAUAGAGAAAGUGUUUGUGCUAAUAUCAAAACUCCCACUAGAGAGCUCUUCUGCCAGAGGUUCAAAAGAUAUAUUGUCAUUAUCUGAUGCUAUAUCAACAUUAGCAUUGAGCCUAAUACAAUCAUAAGCAUCCCGAAGGGUUUCUGGGUUUGCAAUCACUCUAAUCAUUAAAUCAUGAAACUUCCCAUUCAAAUAUUGCUCCUUCACCCUCUUCUUUAUGCGGAGUUCAAGAGACCUCUUGAGCUCCAUUCGACUCUUGCAUCUUCUAUCAUUAAGAUUGGAAGAUUCCUCAAGAAGAAAACCUAAAUUUUUUGCCAGUGUUGCUUUUCCAGUGCCCAUAUUAAUGCUAUCAUUAACUUCUGUAAGAGUAGAAUAAUUUGUGCAAGCUUGCAAUCUUUCUAUUGGUGUUCCUGACAAGUGUGAGGUGGUGCGUUUCAUCCUUGCAGAUGAGUUGCAUAGGAUUCUGUUUCCGGAGAAGCGGUUGAGGCAAUGUUUCUUGCUGCAGUGCCAUCUCUGCUGCUGCUGCUGGUGGUGGGAAGUCUCCCAUGGUUGCCCCAAAAGAAGUGUUUGCCCAAAUUGCGGUAAAAACAGAUAAUAAAGCGAAGAGAGUACAGAGGAGGCAAGAGAGACGCGGUAGUGAAGUGGGUGCAGUGCAUAUAACUUGAGAAAGUGGCGAAAGUGAGCUCUGUUGAGAAAAAUCUUUAGCUCCAUGUAUGAUUUUAGGGUUAUCUGAACAUCGGGAACUCUCAUCCUUGCAGGACAUGAUUAAAUCCCUGUUGGGUUUGAUGUGAAUGCUGAUUUUGAUGGAGAAAUUUGUGUGUUGCGUUACUUUUAGUCAUUUGGGUAGUAUGCUGCGAGCAGUUCAUAGGGCAGAAGGUAUCCUUGUUAGCUGCCAGGUUGUAAUCGGCGGGAGACAGGG